rnacentral:rRNA from 1 species
GACGUAGGGCGCAAGCGUUGUCCGGAAUUAUUGGGCGUAAAGAGCUCGUAGGCGGCUUGUUGCGUCGACUGUGAAAAACCACGACUCAACCGUGGGACUGCAGUCGAUACGGGCAGGCUAGAGUUCGGUAGGGGAGACUGGAAUUCCUGGUGUAGCGGUGAAAUGCGCAGAUAUCAGGAGGAACACCGGUGGCGAAGGCGGGUCUCUGGGCAGUAACUGACGCUGAGGAGCGAAAGCGUGGGGAGCGAACAGG